UACGUAGGGGGCAAACGUUGCUCGGAAUUACUGGGCGUAAAGGGUGUGUAGGUGGCUGAGUAAGUCAAAGAUGAAAUCCCUAGGCUCAACCUAGGAAUUGUUUUUGAAACUGCUCAACUUGAGGAUAGUUGAGGUGAAUGGAAUUCCCGGUGGAGCGGUGAAAUGCGUAGAUAUCGGGAGGAACACCAGAGGCGAAGGCGGUUCUCUGAGCUAUUCCUGACACUGAAACACGAAAGCUAGGGGAGCAAACGGGAUUAGAUACCCUCGUA
rnacentral:rRNA from 1 species